rnacentral:rRNA from 1 species
GGUGAACGCUGGCGGCGUGCCUAAUACAUGCAAGUCGAGCGAACGGACGAGAAGCUUGCUUCUCUGAUGUUAGCGGCGGACGGGUGAGUAACACGUGGAUAACCUACCUAUAAGACUGGGAUAACUUCGGGAAACCGGAUCUAAUACCGGAUAAUAUUUUGAACCGCAUGGUUCAAAAGUGAAAGCCGGUCUUGCUGUCACUUAUAGAUGGUUCCGCGCUGCAUUAGCUAGUUGGUAAGGUAACGGCUUACCAAGGCAACGAUGCAUAGCCGACCUGAGAGGGUGAUCGGCCACACUGGAACUGAGACACGGUCCAGACUCCUACGGGAGGCAGCAGUAGGGAAUCUUGCGCAAAGGGCGAAAGCCUGACGGAGCAACGCCGCGUGAGUGAUGAAGGUCUUCGGAUCGUAAAACUCUGUUAGUAGGGAAGAACAUAUGUGUAAGUAAAUGUGCACAUCUUGACGGUACCUAAUCAGAAAGCCACGGCUAACUACGUG